UACGAAGGGGGCUAGCGUUGCUCGGAAUUACUGGGCGUAAAGGGCGCGUAGGCGGCUCCGCUUGUCGGGCGUGAAAUCCCGGGGCUCAACCCCGGGGCUGCGCCCGAGACGGCGGGGCUCGAGUGCGGGAGAGGGUGGUGGAAUUCCCAGUGUAGAGGUGAAAUUCGUAGAUAUUGGGAAGAACACCGGUGGCGAAGGCGGCCACCUGGCCCGCGACUGACGCUGAGGCGCGACAGCGUGGGGAGCAAACAGG
rnacentral:rRNA from 1 species